rnacentral:SRP_RNA from 1 species
CGCGAGCCGUAGGUAGGGCUACCGUUAAACGGUAGCCAGAAGAACCGCAUAGGGUUAUUAAUCGAAACAUCAACCCCCACGCUAACGAUGAACCCCGCCCCACGGGGUCGGCGGUGGCGGAGCCCUCUCUGGAGGGAGGGGGUUAACCGCCUUAACCGGGGGAACCUGGCCAGGUCCGGAAGGGAGCAACCUAACCUCGGCCGUCGACGUUCGUGGGUCUACGGGGUUGAGGAUUGCGUGGUAAGGCUCUGGUGUUUCGAUUAAUAACCCUAUGUGGGGCUGCGGCUCGCG